UCCAGAACUCCAGCACUGGAACUAAGAGAGAGAACAAUAAAACAUUGGCUCCUAAAAUCACCCUGACCCCUGCUUUACCUGCUGCGCCAACAAAAGUUUGUUCCAGACCUUCCUCUCCCACUCUGAGCGUCAGUGAAUCAGACACACAUGUCAGGCCUCCCCCCAGACUGGCCUCAUUUCCCCCAGAGAGAUUACUGCAUGAUGAUAUGUCUGCACAGAUAUCAUUUCAGAUUUCCAUGUGCUUCCCUCCACACCAGACACAUGGAGCAAAUAACCAGCCAUAUCCAUUCCCUGAAGUCUUCAUCACAAUCGGACAACCAGGGGAGGCUAUAGUAAUUCCUCUCAGCCCUAGGCCUGGCAGACCGGUCU